AGAGCGAACGCUGGCGGCGUGCUUAACACAUGCAAGUCGAGUGCGCGCCUGUAGCAAUACAGGUGGCGCACGGCGCACGGGUGCGUAACACGUGGGCAAUCUGCCCUUCGAUGGGGAAUAACCCCGGGAAACCGGGGCUAAUUCCGCAUAAUAUUCCGAUGACUAACGUCAAUGGAUUCAAAGCCGUAAGGCGUCGAAGGAGGAGCCCGCGCACGAUUAGCUAGUUGGUGAGGUAACGGCUCACCAAGGCUAUGAUCGUUAGCU
rnacentral:rRNA from 1 species